rnacentral:rRNA from 1 species
UACGUAGGGUGCAAGCGUUGUCCGGAAUUAUUGGGCGUAAAGAGCUCGUAGGCGGUCUGUCGCGUCGAUCGUGAAAACUUGGGGCUUAACUCUGAGCUUGCGGUCGAUACGGGCAUGACUGGAGUUCGGCAGGGGAGAGCGGAAUUCCCGGUGUAGCGGUGAAAUGCGCAGAUAUCGGGAAGAACACCGGUGGCGAAGGCGGCUCUCUGGACCUGUCCUGACGCUCAGGCGCGAAAGCUAGGGGAGCGAACAGG